CAAGUGAUCUUACGUUUUGUAAG
rnacentral:snRNA from 1 species